rnacentral:rRNA from 1 species
GACGUAGGAUGCAAGCGUUGUCCGGAUUUAUUGGGCGUAAAGAGUUCGUAGGCGGUUCGUUAAGUUUGGUGUUAAAGACUGUGGCUCAACCACGGGAUCGCACUGAAUACUGGCGGACUGGAGUGUAGUAGAGGCAAGCGGAAUUCCCAGUGUAGCGGUGAAAUGCGUAGAUAUUGGGAAGAACACCGGUGGCGCAAGCGGCUUGCUGGGCUAUAACUGACGCUGAGGAACGAAAGCGUGGGGAGCGAACAGG